rnacentral:rRNA from 1 species
AUUGAACGCUGGCGGCAUGCCUUACACAUGCAAGUCGAACGGUAACGCGGGGCAACCUGGCGACGAGUGGCGAACGGGUGAGUAAUGCAUCGGAACGUGCCCAGAAGUGGGGGAUAGCCCGGCGAAAGCCGGAUUAAUACCGCAUGAGACCUGAGGGUGAAAGCGGGGGAUCGCAAGACCUCGCGCUUUUGGAGGGGCCGAUGUCAGAUUAGCUAGUUGGUGGGGUAAAGGCCUACCAAGGCGACGAUCUGUAGCUGGUCUGAGAGGACGACCAGCCACACGGGGACUGAGACACGGCCCAGACUCCGACGGGAGGCAGCAGUGGGGAAGUUUGGACAAUGGGCGCAGGCCGGCUCCAGCCAUGCCGCGUGCGGGAAGAAGGCCUUCGGGUUGUAAACCGCUUUUGUCAGGGAAGAAACGCUCUGGGCUAAUACCCUGGGGUAAUGACGGUACCUGAAGAAUAAGCACCGGCUAACUACGUGCCAGCCGCCGCAGUAA